AAAGCCUCGAGCUUGUGCAACCCAGCUCUCUUACAAUCCAACACAGCCCUGGAUAAAAAGGUGUGCAAUAUCCAAGCUUUACAUCAGGUGGUUCCCCACUUCUUGAUGCCACGGUCCAAAAAUCAGGCAAGUCCACUCCAUUGGAAGUAACUAUAUAUAGUGUAGGCUCAGGGGUCCACAAUGCUUACAUGGAUGCAUGAUCAAAGCUGCUCAUCAGUUUUAUCCUCGAAGAAAAAGGGAAGAAAAAUUUGUCCACAUAUUUAUAAAAAAAUUUCCAUAGCUAUUCUCCUCCAUCUGCUAGUUACAGAUGGAGCAUUUGGGGUGGAGCAUUGGUAAUAGAGGGGGGCUUUGCUGCUUCAUAUGGGGAUGGAUAUGGACUUCAUUCGGGUGGUGUUGACAAAGGUCCUCUAUAUGCAUGAGUUCUAGUUCUUGGGGUGCAUUUGAGAAGUCUUGCCUCAAGCGUCGCUGAAGUCUGUUGAUUUAUUUUUUUCCUUCUGCUUUUUCUUGUGUCUCAAUCUGUAAAUUUUCUAUCCAUUAUGUAACCUUUCAUUUUCAGGUCCCCUGUAAAUGAGGCUGGUUGUAAAUGAUUUACAGGUUGUGUUUGAAUGCUAAUUUAAGCCUGUAAAGGUCUUUUGAUUUAGAAGAUUCAGCCUAGCAGAAUUUUUAAUUGUUUCUAUUAUUUUUUCUUUUACACUGUAAAUGAUUUAUCGGCGUUUUAAACAGAUUUUACAGGCAUUUUUUAA